rnacentral:rRNA from 1 species
GAUGAACGCUGGCGGCGUGCCUAAUACAUGCAAGUCGAGCGAACAGACGAGGAGCUUGCUCCUCUGAUGUUAGCGGCGGACGGGUGAGUAACACGUGGAUAACCUACCUAUAAGACUGGGAUAACUUCGGGAAACCGGCGCUAAUACCGGAUAACAUGUUGAACCGCAUGGUUCAACAGUGAAAGACGGUCUUUCUGUCACUUAUAGAUGGAACCGCUCCGCAUUAGCUAGUUGGUAAGGUAACGGCUUACCAAGGCAACGAUGCGUAGCAGACCUGAGAGGGUGAUCGGCCACACUGGAACUGAGACACGGUCCAGACUCCUACGGGAGGCAGCAGUAGGGAAUCUUCCGCAAUGGGCGAAAGCCUGACGGAGCAACGCCGCGUGAGUGAAGAAGGUCUUCGGAUCGUAAAACUCUGUUAUUAGGGAAGAACAAAUGUGUAAGUAACUAUGCACGUCUUGACGGUACCUAAUCGGAAAGCCACGGCUAACUACGUGCCAGCAGCCGCAGUAA